rnacentral:lncRNA from 1 species
AUGCCACCGAGAUCCACCCUAGAUGACGGUCGGAAUCUCCUGUUCUUGACGUCAAUCCCUUCAUCUCUCACCCGAGAGCGUGAACCCUACGGUGAUGGAGGAUGGCUUCGAGCAAUCAACCAUGGGGAAAAUGUUCGUAUGGCUCCAAUCUGCACGGAUGUGUCAAGAAGAGAAUCAUAUACGUGGCGAUGUUCGGGAACUCUGGUGAACACUCAGACUCAGAAGAUGAAUCACGAAGAAGGCGAUGAAGCUGUGUUGAGAAGUUGA